UGAUCCUGGCUCAGGAUUAAUGAUGAUCCUGGCUCAGGAUGAACGCUGGCGGCGUGCUUAACACAUGCAAGUCGAACGAACCUUCGGGUUAGUGGCGGACGGGUGAGUAACGCGUGAGAAUCUGCCCUCAGGAGGGGGAUAACGGCUGGAAACGGCCGCUAAUACCCCAUAUGCCGAGAGGUGAAAUGAAUUUCGCCUGAGGAUGAGCUCGCGUCUGAUUAGCUAGUUGGUGGGGUAAUGGCCCACCAAGGCUUCGAUCAGUAGCUGGUCUGAGAGGAUGAUCAGCCACACUGGGACUGAGACACGGCCCAGACUCCUACGGGAGGCAGCAGUGGGGAAUUUUCCGCAAUGGGCGAAAGCCUGACGGAGCAACGCCGCGUGAGGGAUGAAGGCCUCUGGGCUGUAAACCUCUUUUCUCAAGGAAGAAGAUAUGACGGUACUUGAGGAAUAAGCCACGGCUAAUUCCGUGCCAGCAGCCGCGGUAAUACGGGAGUGGCAAGCGUUAUCCGGAAUUAUUGGGCGUAAAGCGUCCGCAGGCGGCCUUGAAAGUCUGUUGUUAAAGCGUGGAGCUUAACUCCAUUUCAGCGAUGGAAACUACAAGGCUAGAGUGUGGUAGGGGCAGAGGGAAUUCCCGGUGUAGCGGUGAAAUGCGUAGAUAUCGGGAAGAACACCAGUGGCGAAGGCGCUCUGCUGGGCCAUAACUGACGCUCAUGGACGAAAGCCAGGGGAGCGAAAGGGAUUAGAUACCCCUGUAGUCCUGGCCGUAAACGAUGAACACUAGGUGUCGGGGGAAUCGACCCCCUCGGUGUCGUAGCCAACGCGUUAAGUGUUCCGCCUGGGGAGUACGCACGCAAGUGUGAAACUCAAAGGAAUUGACGGGGGCCCGCACAAGCGGUGGAGUAUGUGGUUUAAUUCGAUGCAACGCGAAGAACCUUACCAGGGUUUGACAUCCUGCGAAUCCCUUGGAAACGAGGGAGUGCCUUCGGGAGCGCAGUGACAGGUGGUGCAUGGCUGUCGUCAGCUCGUGUCGUGAGAUGUUGGGUUAAGUCCCGCAACGAGCGCAACCCACGUCUUUAGUUGCCAGCAUUCAGUUGGGCACUCUAGAGAGACCGCCGGUGAUAAACCGGAGGAAGGUGUGGAUGACGUCAAGUCAUCAUGCCCCUUACAUCCUGGGCUACACACGUACUACAAUGCUACGGACAAAGGGCAGCAAACUCGCGAGAGCUAGCAAAUCCCAUAAACCGUGGCUCAGUUCAGAUCGUAGGCUGCAACUCGCCUACGUGAAGGAGGAAUCGCUAGUAAUCGCAGGUCAGCAUACUGCGGUGAAUACGUUCCCGGGCCUUGUACACACCGCCCGUCACACCAUGGAAGUUGGCCACGCCCGAAGUCGUUACUCCAACCCUUGUGGGAGGAGGAUGCCGAAGGUGGGGCUGAUGACUGGGGUGAAGUCGUAACAAGGUAGCCGUACCGG
rnacentral:rRNA from 1 species